AUACUUACAUCCAGGGGGAAUACCAUGAUCAAGAAGGUGGCUUCCCCAGGAUGAGACUCUUCCAUUGUACUUUUAGGUUGGGUUGACUCCUGUGAUUUUCCCCAAAUGUGGGAAACUCAGCUGCAUAAUUUAUGGUAGUGGUGGACUGCCACUGUGCAGUCCCCUA